AAGUUUUUACAUCCUGAGUGUAUUAAUUCAUUCUCAUGCUGAUGAUAAAGACAUAUUGGAGACUGGGUAAUUUAUAAAGAAAAAGGUUUAACUGACUCACAGUACCACAUGGCUGAGGAGGCCUCACAAUCAUGGUGGAAGUCAAGGAGGA